UACGUAGGGUGCAAGCGUUAAUCGGAAUUACUGGGCGUAAAGCGUGCGCAGGCGGCUAUGCAAGACAGAUGUGAAAUCCCCGGGCUCAACCUGGGAACUGCAUUUGUGACUGCAUGGCUAGAGUACGGUAGAGGGGGAUGGAAUUCCGCGUGUAGCAGUGAAAUGCGUAGAUAUGCGGAGGAACACCGAUGGCAAAGGCAAUCCCCCGGACCUGUACUGACGCUCAUGCACGAAAGCGUGGGGAGCAAACAGG
rnacentral:rRNA from 1 species